UACAGAGACUGCAAGCGUUAUUCGGAUUCACUGGGCGUAAAGGGUGCGCAGGCGGCCAAGUGAGUUAGGCGUGAAAGCCCGAGGCUUAACCUCGGAAUUGCACCUAAAACUACAUGGCUAGAGUACUGGAGAGGGUAACGGAAUUCACGGUGUAGCAGUGAAAUGCGUAGAUAUCGUGAGGAACACCAGAGGCGAAGGCGGUUACCUGGACAGUUACUGACGCUCAGGCACGAAAGCAUGGGGAUCAAACAGG
rnacentral:rRNA from 1 species